CAGCAGCCGCGGUAAUACGGAAGGUCCAGGCGUUAUCCGGAUUUAUUGGGUUUAAAGGGAGUGUAGGCGGUCUGUUAAGCGUGUUGUGAAAUUUAGGUGCUCAACAUCUAACUUGCAGCGCGAACUGGCGGACUUGAGUGCACGCAACGUAUGCGGAAUUCAUGGUGUAGCGGUGAAAUGCUUAGAUAUCAUGACGAACUCCGAUUGCGAAGGCAGCGUACGGGAGUGUUACUGACGCUUAAGCUCGAAGGUGCGGGUAUCGAACAGGAUUAGAUACCCCAGUAGUCCCUGUCUCUUAUAU
rnacentral:rRNA from 1 species